GUGUUCACUUCGGCAGCACAUAGACGAAAAUUGGGACAUACAGAGAAGACUAGCACGGCUCCUGCGCAAUCAUAAGAUGCAAAUUUGUGAAGCGUUCCAAUUUAGG